UCCUGCCAGUAGUCAUAUGCUUGUCUCAAAGAUUAAGCCAUGCAUGUCUAAGUACAGGCCGAACUAAGGCGAAACCGCGAAUGGCUCAUUAAAUCAGUUAUGGUUCAUUGGAUCUUACCCAUACUACUUGGAUACCUGUGGUAAUUCUAGAGCUAAUACAUGCAACUCAGCUCCGACCGCCAGGGACGAGCGCUUUUAUUAGAUCAAAACCAAUCGGGCCUCGGUCCGCCAGACUAGUGGUGACUCUGAAUAUCUUUGUGCUGAGCGCACGGUCCUCGCACCGGCGCCGUAUCUUUCAAGUGUCUGCCUUAUCAGCUGUCGAUUGUAGGUUAUGCGCCUACAAUGGCUAUAACGGGUAACGGGGAAUCAGGGUUCGAUUCCGGAGAGGGAGCCUGAGAAACGGCUACCACAUCUAAGGAAGGCAGCAGGCACGCAAAUUACCACUCCCGGCCCGGGUAGGUAGUGACGAAAAAUAACGAUGCGAGACUCAUCCGAGGCCUCGCAAUCGGAAUGAGUACACUUUAAAUCCUUUAACGAGGAUCUAUUGGAGGGCAAGUCUGGUGCCAGCAGCCGCGGUAAUUCCAGCUCCAAUAGCGUAUAUUAAAGUUGUUGUGGUUAAAAAGCUCGUAGUUGGAUCUCAGUUCCUGACCGACGGUUCACCGCCCGGUGCUUACUGUCGGCUCAGAACAGCCCAUAUACCGUCGGCUCGGUCGGGGUUGCUCUUCAUCGAGUGUCCCGAGCGGCCGGCACGUUUACUUUGAAAAAAUUAGAGUGCUCAGAGCAGGCUCCCCGCCUGGAUACUUGUGCAUGGAAUGAUGGAAUAGGACCUUGGUUCUAUUUUGUUGGUUUUCGGAACCCAAGGUAAUGAUUAAGAGGGACAGACGGGGGCAUCAGUAUUGCGACGCUAGAGGUGAAAUUCUUGGACCGUCGCAAGACUAACAACUGCGAAAGCAUUUGCCAAGA
rnacentral:rRNA from 1 species